GACGAACGCUGGCGGCGUGCUUAACACAUGCGAGUCGAACGGAAAGGCCCUGCUUUUGUGGGGUGCUCGAGUGGCGAACGGGUGAGUAACACGUGAGUAACCUGCCCUUGACUUUGGGAUAACUUCAGGAAACUGGGGCUAAUACCGGAUAGGAGCUCCUGCUGCAUGGUGGGGGUUGGAAAGUUUCGGCGGUUGGGGAUGGACUCGCGGCUUAUCAGCUUGUUGGUGGGGUAGUGGCUUACCAAGGCUUUGACGGGUAGCCGGCCUGAGAGGGUGACCGGCCACAUUGGGACUGAGAUACGGCCCAGACUCCUACGGGAGGCAGCAGUGGGGAAUAGUGCACAAUGGGCGGAAGCCUGAUGCAGCAACGCCGCGUGCGGGAUGACGGCCUUCGGGUUGUAAACCGCUUUCGCCUGUGACGAAGCGUGAGUGACGGUAAUUGGUAAAGAAGCACCGGCUAACUACGUG
rnacentral:rRNA from 1 species